UAGAUGUUGCCUAUAACAUCAAAUUUGGGGUAUCUGGUCAUCCCUCCAAAAUAAGGCAAUGACCACACGUUUAACGCGGAUCAUUCGUUUUUUCAUGGAACUUGACUCAUUCCAUCUUCUGGAUUGCUUAGGAAACCUGAUUGGCAUUGCCUGUGUAAUGACCGAGAAGAUGCGGCCUACAUGAACAUCAUUUAGGCGGCCAACAUCAUUCGACUACCCAACCGACUUCUACUACCCAACCGACUUCUACUACCCUGCUCUCAACACAACACGGAGUUCAACCCUUUAGAUUUUUGGCUGUUCGCGAUGUGUGAUGGACGAGCGUUUCCUUGGACGAGAUGUUUAUUUUGGCGAAAAAAAAAUAUUGCGUACGAUUUUCAUGCUGUCAUUCACUGAUGCUAUUUUUGUGCGUGCCGGCCUUCCGUCGCCUCGAGGCAUGGGGGAGUUGUGCCUGUUCCAGCUACGCUGCCAGCAUUAUUCGACUACCCAACCGACGGGCGGGUGGACUUUCACUGACCCCUACUACGCCUGCACUCAACCCAGUUCUCACGGAGUUUUGAUGUUAGCGAGUGAGCAUCUUCGACACUUCAACAACUGCAUCCUUCGUCGUAUUACCAGUUCACAAUGGUGGCAAACUAUGCUGUCUUGCUGAAAUGCUGCUAUUGCCUAUUGGUUGUUGUAUUGCUGAUGGCUGGGUCGAUCAAGGGUGUACUGAUAAGUAUAGUCUACCACGCCGCCUCCUUACUAAACAACAACGUCAACACCUACUUACUCUACGAAGGCCUCUAAGUACUACACUACCAAGGCUCCUGAGUAUUUAACUGCAACCUACGCUGCUCCAUCUUAGGAAACAUGGUUAACUGUGGGUAGUGCUGCUGUUGGGUGUUGUGUCAUUGAUGGCUUGGUCGACUACUGGUGUGCCGAUGUCUCCUGGUUAUAUUGAGUACCAAACCGCAACGUCUUACUACACAGCGAAGUCCACAUACGCAACAUCUGUUACUACACCGAGGCUCCCAAGUACUACACCGAGUUAUCUGCCCCAGCCUACUUCACCGACGCGUUCAAGUACUACUCUGCUCCAAGUUACUACCAAACUGAGGCUCCUGUUUGCUACACCAAGGCCACCGAGUAUUACACUACAACCAUGCUAACUAUGGCGUUGUGCUGCUGUUCGUUGUUGUAUCCUUGAUGGUUGGGUUGACUACUGGUGUACCGAUGUCUCGGCAUGA